UACGUAGGGUGCAAGCGUUAAUCGGAAUUACUGGGCGUAAAGCGUGCGCAGGUGGUUGUGUAAGCUUGAUGUGAAAUCCCCGGGCUCAACCUGGGAAUGGCAUUGAGGACUGCACGGCUAGAGUGCGUCAGAGGGGGGUGGAAUUCCGCGUGUAGCAGUGAAAUGCGUAGAGAUGCGGAGGAACACCGAUGGCGAAGGCAGCCCCCUGGGAUGACACUGACACUCAUGCACGAAAGCGUGGGGAGCAAACAGG
rnacentral:rRNA from 1 species